CUGCCACUCUGCACUUGAUGUUCAAUUCGACCAACGCCUAAAUUGCAUUUGGGCCCUGGAAUGCUACUGCCAUACUCUGGUCAUUAGUGCAACGGUGUCGUUUUGGAGAGGCUGAAGUUGUUUCCUUAGGGGGGUCAUUCUCGUUCACGAUUUUUUAUGGGCAGAGAGCAUCCAUGUGCUAAGGUAGAAUGAAAGAGAGCUCCUUCAAAGUUAGGGCUUGGUUCGAAAGCGAGAGAAUGAAAGAGGAAGAGAAGCUUACCUUGUGCCACUUACCCGAAGGAGGUGCCCGGAGAAGAUGACCGGCGCUGCCACGUGGAUGAUCAAACGGCUAGUAGAGAGCAAGGAGGCAGAAUAAAGAGGACCGUUGGAUCAAGGUGAAGCCGGAAGCGUCAAGAACAAGUUUCACUUUUUCCUUUUCUUUCUUUCAAUUUUUUUUUUCAUUUGUUUCUGACCCUAUAAAAGGAGUUUUAUAAAUAGAAAAGAGGGAGACUGGAGAGACCGAGACACUCGAAUAGAUACUCUACAAUUUUUCAUUUUAGAUAGUUAGGGUUUUCCGUUCUUUUGGAGCGCUCAUCACGGUCGUGACAACCCGCGGUGGCUCCGAUUGCGCUUUUCGUACGAAAUGUUGGGCCGCUGCCACUGCAAUGCUUGACUGUUGUCACUGUUGCUCAUUUAAAUGGGCUGGUAUUUUAAGAUGUUAAUCGGGCUGUUGAUUGAAAGUGAAGUGGGCACGCUGCUUUUGAGAUUGGGCUGGCAGACUUUGCGCUACACUUUGCAUGGGCUGACAGCACUUUAGAGCAACGACGACGUCUGGUGCAUCAUUGCUUCCUUGGGAGUAAAGCUCGAAGACAUCUAUCAUUUGGAGAAAAGCACACUCGAGAAAGUUUUGGAAGGGAGAAAGCUUCUUUAGAGCUAGGGCUGAAGCAAAGCGGAAGAACGAGAGAGAAAAGCUCCCAAUGUUCAAGUCACUUACCCACCGGUGCGGUUCUGACCGGAGCUGACCGGACGAUGACCGGAACUGCCACGUCGGAUAAAGAUAAGGAAACGUCCAGAGCAAGUUUCUUGUUCCCUUUUUACCUCUUUUAUUUUCUUUCUCGACCCGAUAUAAAGGGCUUCUGCUUUGUACAUAGAUUUUUUGGAGACUCUUAUACAGACCGAGACACUCUGCAGUUUUCCAAUUUUUCCAGUUUUAGAUAGUUAGGGUUUUCAAUUUCUUUGCAUUUGGAGCGCUCACUCACGGUGGUGACAGCCCGUGGUGGCUCCGAUUGCGCUCUCCGUUCGGUACAUUUUUUUGUAAUUUUUGUUUCUCCUUAAUAAAAUGUUCUUUUUCUUUUAUGUGUUUUUGUUUUCUGUGUUGAGCAUUGUGAUUUUGUUGUGUUGAUUUUUUUUUUUUCGUUCUUGUGUUCUUGUGUUGUUUUGAGGAAAAUUAAGUUGAACUCGUGUGACUCUGCAAUUCUAUGAUUCCUCUGGAAUCGAAUGACUCCACAGCGAGCAUUCUUGAUCGAGAUGUCUUCUCGAGUCAGAGUUGAGUCAAUGCUUAAAGAUUCAUCAGAUUUAUAUUUCUAUUUUUUUGUUUCUAUUAUAUGAACUCUGUUUGAGAACUAUGAAGGAAAACAUCCACAAUAUUACAUCUGUUUGGAUGUAAUAGGACUCUUGAUUGGGCCUAAAUUUUCAAAAGGUCUUCUUGAGAGAUGUUAAGCUUCAUAAGAUUAAGUUCAAUUUCAGUGUUGUGUUUUCAUUUCUUGUGAAACUGUGCAUUGGUUGAAUAAUUGAGUGAGAAUUUCCACUUUUAAGUUCUGAAAUAUGAACUAAAAAGACCCCAUAGAGGGCUUAAUUUUCUCAUAAUGUCUUAAGAGGAAUUGAGACUCUUUCAUUCAAUCUAGUGCACUUUUAUCUCUGUUAUUUGAUUUUGUGUAAUAUCUUUAGUUUGUUUCUUUACUUUUUACAUUUAUGUUGAAUUGAUGUUUAGUAUAGGAUAUACUGUUCUAAUCAGUUGGAUAUUAAGUGUUCAUUUUGAUUGAAGGUCAUUUAGGUUCCUUUAUUUUGCUUUUAAUUGAAAUAGAUGUAGAAUGUUGAUUGUUUCUUCUGAAGUUUAGUUUCUUUUUUUUCUUUUACUUUAGAAUUGUGUAGAGUUAGGAUUUAUUUUGUUUUAGUUACUGUUAGAAUUUUAUGCACGGUGAAGUUCUAUCUUGUCAUGACUAUAGUUUAGAGUAGGUUUUAUUUUUUUUUACAUUUUAUUUCUUUAAUUUCCUUUUAAACAAAUUUUUCUUCUUUACUAUUUUUCUUCUCAAUUUCUUGGUUUUUAAUUAGAUUUUAUUUUCCCACCUUGCAUUAGAAUAGUAAAUAAUUAGGCAGUAAGUAAUACAAGAUUCUAUACCAAACACUUGAAACUUGAUUAGCUGAGUCUGCGGAUUGAUCCCUUGGUUGCCCUAUACUGCAUUAGUGAGGACCAGGGUUUGUUGACUUUUUGUGCGACCAAAAAGCCUUUCAACAAUGAUCCUUGCACUGACCUCAAUUUCUAUGAUAGAUUUAAUAGUGCAGUUGCUGUGUUGGUGGAGCAUAGUGAGGUUAACUUUGACAAGCGAGAGCAUGUUUUCUCUGAACUUGAACUUCCUGUUUGUUUGAGUGAGAUGCAAAAUAAUGUUGAUAAUCUUGUGCAUGUUGAAUUUGAGAAACUCUUGCCUGAUAUUCUCACUGUCAUGCCUGGUAAUUCUGAAUUGGUGGAUGAGAAUUUUGUGAAUCAUAUAAACACACCUACUAAUGGGUGUUUUAAUUUGAAUGCAUUGAAUUUUGAUGAUUUGCUUGAGGAUUUGAUGAGUGAUUCUCACAUAACUGCACAUGUUUUAUUGGAUACACAUGCUCACUUUGAGUUUGAUGUUAUGGCAGCAGAGUUAAAUGAGCAGGAAGCUACAAGCAUUAUGGCAGCCUUGGUAAAGGCAGGAGAUUUUGUCAAAAUUGCUCAAAGGGCCUUGAAUGUGCACAGCCAGCUACAGGAAGAUGUUAUUGCUGCAACAAGAUGAGUUGAAAAUGCAGAAGCAGCUGCCAUCUGAUGAGAAAGAGCUGAUGCUGCUAGAACAAAUGGUUGAGCAAGAGGAAGACCGUGCAUGGAGGGAGACUCUGCACAGAGGAGCUGGGCAUAAUGGAGAAAAACUAAUAAGCCUUUUCUUUCCCUUGCUUUUCAAUUGUAGUUAUAGAUUUGUGUUAGUAAUUUAUAUAUUAGGUAGCAUAGUAAAUAGUAGGAUAGAAAAUAUGUUAUUUUUCAUAAAAAUUAAAAGAAUCAAUUUUGAUCUUUGGCCAAUUUGAGAUUUUAUUUUUCUUGUAGUUUUGUAGUUUUAGUUUUCUUUUUCUAUUUCUGUUUCUAUACAUGUGUUCUAUUGCAUUUUCUCUUCUGUUAAUAUACAGUUGUGCUCUUUUGAUCUAGUUUUCUUAGUUCUAUUUUGUUAUGUAUAUAUCUUUGCUCAAUUUUAGCUUUUUCAAUUUUGAUUUGUAUAAGUCUGAUGCUCUUUUUCCUGUUGAUAUGUAAAUAUGUAUGAUAUGUGUUGUUAGGAACCUUACCCACUCACACAUUGAGGGCAAUGUGCUUCUUAAGUGUGGGGGUGGGAAGGUAUAGAUUUAAAAGUCUUGUUCUGUUGUAAAUAUCUCUGUUUAGCAUUAGUUUAGUAAUAAAAUAGGGGUAAUUUUUUUUUCUAAAGUUGUUUUUCCUUUAGUUUAGGUCUGGUUUAGUUAAUGUGUAAAUACCUAGUUUUUCUUUUUCUUCUUCUAUCCUUGUUUCUUGUUUUACGUUCUGUUCUAGUUUAUGUAAAUAGGAAUGGCUUUAGAUUCUUUCCCUUUCAAUUUUUUUUUCUUAGAAGCUGUUUUAGGAUUCUUUUCUUUUCCUUUUGCUGAUUUGCUUGGUAGAGCUUUAGUUUAGGUUCUUGUUGCUGUUUUAGUUCGUAAAUUUCCAGUUAGGAUCUGUCUAGGUUAUAUUCUGUUCUACUUUAGUUUGUCUAGGUUGUAAAUAGCUUAGGAAAUUCUGUUAGGUCGUUUUAGGUGCUUUUAGGUUCUGUUUCAAGCUUUUCUUCAUUCCUUUCUGAUUUUACUCAAUUUUUAGAUUCAUUUCCUUAGAUUUGAAUUGUCAAGAGUAGACUUAGCUUUAGAUUUAGGCAUAAGUAGUUCUAGCAUUGAUUUUGCAGCUUUAGUUCAUUUCAAUUCAGUAAUUUUUGCAUAGGAUGAGUAGCAAGUCAGUUUUAACAAUUUUUAACCCUUGAGAGAUUUUGGGCCAGCUUUUGUCUUUCUUGUGUGAUAACAUGCAUGUUUAGCUUUCAUUCUGAUUUUGCAUUGAUUCUUUGUUGAUGUGCUUGCUCUUGGUAACUUUAAAUAUGAUAUAUAAGUGGUCUUAGAAUGACUAAGAAAGUAAAACAUUGUAUAGCCAGGAUCUUGAGGACAAUAAAUUUUGGGAUAUGAUAAAUACUAUCUAGAAGAUAGUGCUAUUGUCACUUUUUUUUUAAGUGAGAUGACUUUUAAAGUUAAGUGGAAAAGAUCAACGGGUAUCUUGUGAUCCCAAAGUCUUGACAACCGAAGAACUGCUUUGGCAGAAGCUAGCUUCAAAUAGGCCUUAUCAACUGAACUGCAAGUGGUUUCAAAUGCACUGGAUAUAAAGUUGAGGGAUGAUUUGGAGUGGUUGAAGAAAAUCAGAAAUCACCGUGGUUUGAGGCACUACUGGGGUCUUGUGUUCGAGGAUAGCAUACCAAGACAACUGGUCGCAGGGGUAAAACUGUUGGUGUGUCUAAGAAGCGUUAAGCAGUUCAAUUUUUGCUAUGAGGAUUGAUAUUCGUUAUCGAAGCAAAUUGAGUUUUCUACUGGUUGUUUAGUGUUAUUAUGGUUUCAAUAUUUUUUCUACUUUAUCUUUUUCAUGGUGUUGAGAUUGAUUUUAUUUUAUUGAACUUGAAUUGUGCCGACGAAGUGAACGGAAAUCAAAUAAGAGUAGAAAGUGAAUUUAUUAUUAA